AAUUUGCAUGGUGGCAUCGUCCUCUUCCUAAGUUUCAGUUGCAUUUUGUAAGUGAUGGGCUCAUUGCCGCUAUUUCCACAUUGAACUAGAUGCUGACAACCGGAAAUUUAGACCGCUUUACAUCACCGUCAUAACCGCAAGCCGGCCUGGCAAGUUAACGAAGAGCAGAGGAAGAUGUUGACAAUGAGCAUAACGAGCAGCAGAAUGGCCAGGCAGAUGCAGAGGCCGAUGAGCCACGGAAAGCGCCACUCCGUGCACUCGCGCAAGGGUGCUGACACUGCAGGGAGAAAAAAGAAAAACAAAGAAGGCGUCACAAACCAAGCGAAACGCCUACAGCCCCGUUACGACAAGCGAAGCCAGUUGCAGUGCACCUGCCAGCCCUGCAUUCACACGAGCUCCGGUGGAGGGGCUAGCGCAAUGACGGAGGAAGAAAGCGACCUUGGAGGCCGGUGGCUUGUGAGAUCGACAGACUUUCGUUUCUCUUAGUGCUCCUGUGGUUCUGUUUUAGUUCUGAGCACAAGUUCGCCCCUUAAUAAACAGUAUUUAUUAUAAGUA
rnacentral:lncRNA from 1 species